rnacentral:rRNA from 1 species
CCUACGGGAGGCAGCAGUGAGGAAUAUUGGUCAAUGGGCGCGAGCCUGAACCAGACAAGUCGCGUGAGGGAAGACGGUCCUAUGGAUUGUAAACCUCUUUGGUCGGGGAGCAAAAGACGCCACGCGUGGCGUUCCGCGAGUACCCGAAGAAAAAGCAUCGGCUAACUCCAUGCCAGCAGCCGCGGUAAUACGGAGGAUGCGAGCGUUAUCCGGAUUUAUUGGGUUUAAAGGGUGCGCAGGCGGAAGAUCAAGUCAGCGGUAAAAUUGAGAGGCUCAACCUCUUCGAGCCGUUGAAACUGGUUUUCUUGAGUGAGUGAGAAGUAUGCGGAAUGCGUGGUGUAGCGGUGAAAUGCAUAGAUAUCACGCAGAACUCCGAUUGCGAAGGCAGCAUACCGGCGCUCAACUGACGCUCAUGCACGAAAGUGUGGGUAUCGAACAGGAUUAGAUACCCUGGUAGUC